UUUUCUUCUUCCCUCUUGCAGAGCUUCCUGCACCUCCUGCUGUGUACCCCCUGGUGCCAAGCUGUGACACCUUUACCAAAAACCUCAAGGGUGACAUGACCUUUGCCUGCCUGGUGACCGGGUAUUUCCCAGUGCCAGUGGACAUCACAUGGGAAAUUUCUAAAGGGAUGCAAAAUGUGACCCAAAACUUCCCACCAAUGAAAAACAGCAAUGGCCACCUCACCAGCAGCAGCCAGCUGAGCAUCCUUGGCACGAAUGUGAAGGGUAACAGUUUCCAGUGCAAGGUGGCUCACAACCCCACAAACACGAAGACUUCUAAGCCUGUCCCAACAGAGCCUCUCUUUGAGUGUGACGUGAAAAAACCACAGAUUAGCCUCCUAGCCGCAGCCUGUGAGGAUGGCUCUACAACAUCCCCUGUGGAGCUGGUUUGUCUCCUCCAGCGCUUCAAGCCAAAUGAAGCCAAAGUGGAAUGGCUGGUGAAUGGAGAGAAGAAGAAUCCCAGCCCAGGCUACUCCUCUGUCCAAGGUGCAGAUGGUUACUACAUGGGUGAAAGCCGAGUGAACGUCUCCAAGGACAGCUGGAAAAGAGGAGAUGUCUACACAUGCAAAGUGACCCAUCCUGGAAUUACCUCGGGCUUUGAGAUGCACAAUGCAAGCAAGUGUGAAGAUGGCUGUGACCCAUCCCCAGUGGAGGUGCUCCUCCUUCCCCCUUCCCUGGAGGACCUCUAUAUAGCCCACAACACCACCAUCACCUGUUUGGUCACCAACCUGGGGUCAACCAGCAGCCCUGAGAUCACUUGGAGCCGGGGGAGUGGUAAUGCCAAGGACGUAGUGACUGGGAAGCCAAUUCAGCAAAAAAAUGGCACCUUCAGUGUGACCAGCAUCCUUCGGGUGUGUGCAGAGGAGUGGAAGUCUGGAGAGAAAUUCACCUGCACAGUGAAGCACCCAGACAUCCCAUCAGCCAUCACCAAAUCCAUCUCUAAGACCCAAGAGGUCAAUGUACAGGCCCCUUCUGUCUACGUCUACCCUCCUUCUGCUGAUGAGCUGACCCUGCAGGAAUCAGCCACCGUGACCUGUCUGGCCAAGGGCUUCCACCCCAGUGACAUCCUGGUGACAUGGACCCAGCAGGACCGGUCCAUGCCCCCAGAAGCCUACGUGAAUGUUGGACCCUACCCAGACCCUGCGCAGAAGGGGAACGGCUACUUCAUCUACAGCAAGCUCACCGUCCCAGCAUCAGAGUGGCAGCAGGGAAACGCGUUUUCCUGUGUGGUGGGCCAUGAAGGCCUCCCGAUGACCUUCGUCCACAGAAGCGUGGACAAAGCCUCCGGUAAACCCACCACCGUCAACGUCUCUGUGGUCUUGUCUGAUACUGAGGUCACCUGCUACUCUCCUGUCUUUGUGGUGCUGAACCCAGGGGAUUAUGUUGAAGAAGGAGAAGAAGAACCUGAAAAUUUCUGGACAGCACUUACCUUCAUUGUUCUUUUCCUGCUCAGUCUGUGCUAUAGCACUGGUGUCACAAUGUUCAAGGUGCAAUGAUUGCUGGGCUUCUGG